rnacentral:rRNA from 1 species
AUUGAACGCUGGCGGCAUGCUUUACACAUGCAAGUCGAACGGUAACAGGCCUUCGGGUGCUGACGAGUGGCGAACGGGUGAGUAAUGCAUCGGAACGUACCCAGAGGUGGGGGAUAACGCAGCGAAAGCUGUGCUAAUACCGCAUGUGAUCUGAGGAUGAAAGCGGGGGACCGAGCAGCAAUGUUUGGCCUCGCGCCUUUGGAGCGGCCGAUGUCGGAUUAGCUAGUUGGUGGGGUAAAGGCCUACCAAGGCGACGAUCCGUAGCUGGUCUGAGAGGACGACCAGCCACACUGGGACUGAGACACGGCCCAGACUCCUACGGGAGGCAGCAGUGGGGAAUUGUGGACAAUGGGCGCAAGCCUGAUCCAGCAAUGCCGCGUGCGGGAAGAAGGCCUUCGGGUUGUAAACCGCUUUUGGCAGGAACGAAACGGUGUCCGCUAAUACCGGGCGCUAAUGACGGUACCUGCAGAAUAAGCACCGGCUAACUACGUG